CCCCAGUACUCACACUCCAUCUGACUGCUAAGAGCAUCCCUUCCCCAAUGGCAUCUUCAGGCUGAGAAGCAUCAAAGAGAGUGAGCAACUGUCUCGAGCCUUAGAAGGAAAAAAGGCAGGGAGAGAAGAAGGAAAAAGCAAUUCUCUUCAAGAAUUUCAUGGUGGCAUUCUCUCCAACUGCUUCUCCCAUGGACCAGAAAUCAUACCUAAUUCAGAGAGUAACUUUUGGAUGAAGAUGCUGUGCUUCGUCCUGCUAACAUUCCCAGUUGUCAUCAUGUCUAUGUCAUCUAUUCUGUUGUAUGGAGAUCUGUAUGAGACCCGAGCUGGGCACCGCCACCUUGGAGGUUUUAAGGCCCAGGAGAACAGCGGGCUGGGCACCCUGCCCUGAUUUCCCAUGGACCUUCCCAGAGCAGAAGCUUCGAAGCAGCCUUCCAGCCCCAGCCAUUCGGUGGUUGUAUUCUCUCUUGUGCUGGGUUCCCCAGCGUGAAUCUGUACCAACUCAAAAUAUGAGUAAUUUAAAAUCAAAGUAGUUUAAGCGAAA
rnacentral:lncRNA from 1 species